rnacentral:rRNA from 1 species
AGUGAACGCUGGCGAUAGGCCUAACACAUGCAAGUCGAACGGCAGCACAGUAAGAGCUUGCUCUUACGGGUGGCGAGUGGCGGACGGGUGAGGAAUACAUCGGAAUCUACUUUUUCGUGGGGGAUAACGUAGGGAAACUUACGCUAAUACCGCAUACGACCUACGGGUGAAAGCAGGGGAUCUUCGGACCUUGCGCGAUUGAAUGAGCCGAUGUCGGAUUAGCUAGUUGGCGGGGUAAAGGCCCACCAAGGCGACGAUCCGUAGCUGGUUUGAGAGGAUGAUCAGCCACACUGGAACUGAGACACGGUCCAGACUCCUACGGGAGGCAGCAGUGGGGAAUAUUGGACAAUGGGCGCAAGCCUGAUCCAGCCAUACCGCGUGGGUGAAGAAGGCCUUCGGGUUGUAAAGCCCUUUUGUUGGGAAAGAAAAGCAGCAGGUUAAUACCCCGCUGUUCUGACGGUACCCAAAGAAUAAGCACCGGCUAACUUCGUG